rnacentral:rRNA from 1 species
UACGGAGGGUGCGAGCGUUGUCCGGAAUCAUUGGGCGUAAAGGGCGCGUAGGUGGCCACUUCAAGCGUGCGGUGAAAGUCGGGGGUUCAACCCCUGAUCGGCCGUGCGAACUGGGGGGCUGGAGCACUGUAGAGGCAGGCGGAAUUCCGGGUGUAGCGGUGGAAUGCGUAGAGAUCCGGAAGAACACCGGUGGCGAAGGCGGUCUGCUGGGGUCGAACUGACGCUGAGGCGCGACAGCGUGGGGAGCAAACAGG